GAGUUUGAUUCUGGCUCAGGAUGAACGCUGGCGGCGUGCUUAACACAUGCAAGUCGAACGAACGACUAUUAACAGAACCUUUCGGGGCGAAGAUGAUAGAAGUUAGUGGCGGACGGGUGCGUAACGCGUGGGUAAUCUGCCUUUGUCAAAGGAAUAACUAUUCGAAAGAAUAGCUAAAACCGUAUAACAUAUUAAUAGGGCAUCCUAAUAAUAUCAAAACGAUAGUGGACAAAGAUGAGCCCGCGUCUGAUUAGCUAGUUGGUGAGAUAAAAGCCCACCAAGGCAACGAUCAGUAGCCGACCUGAGAGGGUGAACGGCCACAUUGGAACUGAGACACGGUCCAAACUCCUACGGGAGGCAGCAGUGGGGAAUAUUGCACAAUGGGGGGAACCCUGAUGCAGCAACGCCGCGUGAGUGAAGAAGGCAUUCGUGUCGUAAAACUCUGUAGUAGGGGAAGAAAGAA
rnacentral:rRNA from 1 species